rnacentral:rRNA from 1 species
AUACGUAGGUGGCAAGCGUUAUCCGGAUUUACUGGGUGUAAAGGGCGUAUAGGCGGGACAGCAAGUCAGAUGUGAAAAUUAUGGGCUCAACCCAUAACCUGCAUUUGAAACUGUUGUUCUUGAGUGAUGGAGAGGCAGGCGGAAUUCCGUGUGUAGCGGUGAAAUGCGUAGAUAUUCGGAGGAACACCAGUGGCGAAGGCGGCUUACUGGUCCAUUACUGACGCUGAGGUGCGAAAGCGUGGGGAGC